rnacentral:rRNA from 1 species
UACGUAGGGUGCAAGCGUUGUCCGGAAUUAUUGGGUGUAAAGAGCGUGUAGGCGGCUCGAUAAGUCUGCUGUGAAAGUCCAGGGCUCAACCCUGGAAGGCCGGUGGAAACUGUCGGGCUAGAGUCCGGAAGAGGCGAGUGGAAUUCCCGGUGUAGCGGUGAAAUGCGCAGAUAUCGGGAGGAACACCAAUGGCGAAGGCAGCACUCUGGGACGUGACUGACGCUGAGACGCGAAAGCGUGGGGAGCAAACAGG